rnacentral:rRNA from 1 species
UACGAAGGGGGCUAGCGUUGCUCGGAAUCAUUGGGCGUAAAGCGCGCGUAGGCGGCCCGGUAAGUCCGUUGUAAAAGUCGAAGGCUCAACCUUCGAAAGCCGAUGGAUACUGCCGGGCUAGAGUCCGGAAGAGGCGAGUGGAAUUCCAGGUGUAGCGGUGAAAUGCGUAGAUAUGACAUAGAACACCAAUUGCGAAGGCAGCUGGCUAAACAGAUAUUGACGCUGAGGCACGAAAGCGUGGGGAUCAAACAGG